AAAGUUUGCUUAAUUGCAUUACACAUGUUUUUUUAGAGAACUUGCUUGCAAGAACACUAAUAAUUUAUUCAGUCAAAACUAACUAAUAUCAAAACUUUCAACAACGGAUCUCUUGGUUCUCGCAUCGAUGAAGAACGCAGCGAAAUGCGAUACGUAAUAUGAAUUGCAGAUUUUCGUGAAUCAUCGAAUCUUUGAACGCACAUUGCGCCCUGUGGUAUUCCACAGGGCAUGCCUGUUUGAGCGUCAUUUCUCCCUCAAACCUCUGGUUUGGCGUUGAGUGAUACUCGGUUUACUUGAAAUAUAUGAAAAGCAUAACUAUUAGGUUUUACCAACUCGUUAUACUAAUCUACAAGUUUGACCUCAAAUCAGGUAGGACUACCCGCU
rnacentral:rRNA from 1 species